ensembl:lncRNA
CGUGCAUCCAUCCCGGAACCUGCUCACAAAAGCUCUAAGAAGUUUCAAAUCUUUCGGCUGGUUGUGAACCAAUUCCAUUUUCAGCUGGAGUUUGCAUAGGGUGUUUUGCACUGAAAUUCUGAAUGGGUCUGCAUAUCUUCAUACCGACAGUUCUUUCAACUUGUAGCCUUUAUGAAGGUUAUGAACUGGAAGUGCUCAAAGGAUCUGUUAUUAAAAGCAUAGCCAAACAAAAAGAGGCAGAUUAAUGGACUGUUUAUCUUCACUUCCUCUCAUGUCUCCACAUGGCUGAUGAACAUCAGAAAAGGGAGGAGGAGGUGCACAACCACC